rnacentral:lncRNA from 1 species
AGGAAGAUGGGGAACAAAGAGCCUGGGAUCAAGGCCACGCCACGUUUCCGCGUGUGCGGUCCGCAGCCUCUUCACAGUCGAAUAACGAUCUGAGCGAAGGUGCAGGCUCCAGAGAAGCUGCAGAAGCGAAAAAAAGCAAAAAGACGCGGCUGACCUUAGGGACCGAGAUGGUAGCGGCUGGUUCCAGGCAGCAAGAUGGAGGAAGGGACAAGGAAGAGAGCAAAGCUACUCACCUGACACUGGACACUUCUGCUCACAUCCUGUUGGCCAGAACUUAGUCACAGGACCUGACCUAAACUACAAAGAAGCCUUGAAAAUUAGUCUUUUCUUUCCGGGUGAAAAUGUUCAGCCCCAGCUGCAAAUUCUAUUAUGUGGAAAAAAGAGAGACAGGAUCUUGAGGAACAACUAGAAGUUUCUACCAACACAAAAUCGUCUUUCUGGAUUUAGCCUAAAGGUUCAUGUGGAUAAAGAAAAGAUCCAUUUAUUCAUUCAUUCAAUGACUCACUUAGUUGUUUAACUCAACAGAUAUUUAUUGAGUACCUACUAUGUGCUAGGCACUGUUCUGUGGGCUGAGCUAUACUCGUGAGUUAAACAGGGUUCCCUGCCCUCAUGAAGCCUAUUACAUCCUAGCAGGGAAGAAAGACAACAAGUAAUAAAGAUAAGGAAUUAAAGGACACAGUAUAUUAGAAGAGAAAUGGAACCACGCUUAUUAAUUUGUCUAACAUUUGCCUAACGAUACACCCAAGGCAGCUUUCCAGGGCCACACAGCUCAGUACGUCAGACCUUGACUUCUGGAUUCAGACAGGCCUGGGUUCGAAUCCCGGCUCUCUGCCUUGCAGCAGCCGUGCGGUGCUGG